CCUCCUCGCAACCCCGCGAGCCUACUGGUAGCAGACUUCGUGCUUCAUCAGCUGGCGUCGUCUGUGGGACUAUCGAACCACGAUAUCCCGUCGUAAUCGCGAAAUUUUCUUCGCAAAGUUCAGCUCGAUUCCCUUAGGGUGAGUCGCUAACUUUGUGUCAAGAAAUCUCCGAUUCACACAGGCAAUUGCCGACUCCACCUAGU
rnacentral:lncRNA from 1 species